UAAAAAAUCUUUCUUAUGUUUUGCACAGACCAAAAAAAAAAGCCUGCUUUCUUAAUUCAUUACCUUGUGAAACCAGCCAGGCAAAACCUUUAAUAGUAACAAUAUCGAGAUACUUUGCUUUGAAGUAGUACUUCUUAAUACGCUUAAUUUUUCUUUAAGUACUUGAGUAGAUUUGUAUACAUCAGCUGUAGAGAAGUUAAAGCAUUGGACGUUAACAUUUUUAUUAUCACCUCAAUAUCUGAAUUUUUUUUUAUCGUGAAGAAGCACAGGGAUGCCCUCACAAAGGUUUUUAUAUAAUCUGGGCAAGUUGGCUAAUCAGUUGUGUAAGUCAGGGUCUUUCGUUUCACAGUGUUUCUCACACUCAAGAGUUGCGUGAAGUGUUCAUUUUCUUUAUGUAUCCAAGUGUGGAUUAUCUGGUAUCUUCUAAUACAGUCUGGAAGUUUCUCAUGCAAUUUAUCUUUUUACCCUAAAUUCACCUCCUUUAAAGGAUGAAUUACAUUAAAGACAGUGCCUGCCAUUUUUACAGAUAUUUGAUACCUUCAUACUUAGUCCUCACUCAUUAAAGUCGCUGAGCAGCCACAUCAUGGACCAAGUACUGUCCACGUUGCUGGCCAGACAGUGAUGGACACGACAUACACGUGCCCCUCACCUCCUGUGAAGUUUAUGAUGUAAAGGACAGUGCCAGCAAUGUGUAAGUGCUGGAAUAGGCCUUGAAAUUGAAAUACUUUGGCAAUUUUUAAAUAAGGCUUGAAAGGAGUAAAACUCAAAUCACCAAAUGCCUGGCAUCUGAGUUUACAUGAACCGGUACCAAGAUGUUACCAGGUACCUGGUGUUACUUAUAGUGCAAACGAGGCCCUCUGCUAUUUUAUAAAGAAGCUGUUCCCAAGAAUUGUAGUAUUUUACUCAAACCGUAGAUUAGGCAGAGGCAUGUGAAAAGCUGCGUAACAAUAAGACUUACAAGCAGCAAUUUAAUACAAGGAAAGACAUGCCAUGAAAGAAUAUGUGGUUAACUGCCAAGUAAGUAUUGUAUCGGAAACAUUGUUAUAAAUGGACAAUCCACUUCUGAGAUAGUUUUGCAGAGAAGAUGAGCCUGUAGCCUGGGGCUCUUGACAGGUAGCAAGGGUGUUGUCAUUGGGCAGCAGAGGAGAUGACAGAAAUGUCUUGUGGGAACAUUUAAAACUGGUUUGGGAAGAGAUAAGAUGUGCGAAGUUUAGACAGCCACACUGGGUCAAAUUAAAGAGAUCUGUAAAUACCAGGGACUUUGAGCUCUCCUGCAGGUCAUGGGGAGCCACUGAAAUUGUGGGUUUUUACUACCAAAAGCCAGGCAGGCACAUUGUAUGAUGGUAUCUAUUUAUACCUAGAGAGAACGAGCUUAAAUGAUGAAGACACAUCACAGGGAAUGAGUAUCUGGGCUCUCGGUGUCCCUUCUACCUCCCCCGCACCCCAGUGCAUUUAUUCAACUUUAGUCAUUUGACUGCCAUCUUCAUGACUUACUAAUGCAUAAAAUAUAGAUAGAUAAAUAGACAAAAUAUUAUAGAUAAAAUAUUAUAUUCAUGUAUUUCAUUUAACGUAUGAACACUGUAUACUCAUAUUUUUAUAUAUAUUCCAAAAUAGUGCCUCAGAUACUUUAGUCUUAGGGAAAUACAACUCCAGUAUUCAUCUGUCCUCACCACGGCUACAUUCAUAAUUCACACCUAAUAACUAUAUUUCGCCCCUCACUUUGGUCAGAGAGUACUCUUGCCCAAAUUCGUAUUCGAACCUGGGAGGUGUUACAUUUACCUGCCUUUUGCAGGGAGGGGAAAGUAUACUAAUCUUCAAACACAGCAAAUACAAGUAAUAGUUAAUCCACUUUCUAUUAUUUUAACUAUAUUAAUGUUACUUGUGUGUUUUCUUAACUUUCCCUACUUUUCAGCCAUACUUAAGGCAUUUAAGUUGUAACCAUGGCAAUGAGCUAUAAUGAUAAGGGUAGAAAAUUGAAGUUUGAUUGUAGGAAUAAAAGAGACAAAUCUGGUUUGUUUCCUGUUCCUUUUUCUAAGCAGUUACAGAUGCCCUUUAGAAGUCUGAUUGUAAGUAAACAGGAUAAAAUGACAGUUUCGCUGCUACUUUUACUAUAAAGUUUAACUUUGUCUUCUCUUUACCACUUUGGAUGCAGAGAUAGCGGAUAUAAUAUGAAAAUAAUCUUGUUUUUAGAAUUUAGUGGUCCUACCCAGAAUGAGGUAGGGGUGGAUUAAAUAUAAAAAAUAUUUAAAAGGUCUUUGGUCUGUUUUGUCCUAGGCUAGGUCUUGACCAAAAAAAAAACAAACAACUUUAUUCGAUUGUCUUGGUUUCCUUUAAAAAGAAAGAUUACAUGAAAAGGUUUAGAAUUGAAGGUCUGUUAUUGUUCCUCAUUCUUCUUUAACAUUUACUUGAAGACAAUUUCUCUACUCUCCCUCUCCUUAUUUUUGUAUUACAAAUUUGACUUGAAAAGCUUUUCAGCAAUAGGGUUUGUUAGCAAGGCAGUGGUUUGAUCUCUACCUGGGAGAGAUCCCUGCCUACUAAGGUGUUCUCAGGAUGUUAUAUUCUGUUGAAAUGCCAGAAAUUGAGACCAACUGCUGAAUUUGUUUUUAAAUAGCUAGCUUACUGCAGAGUCGCUUUCUAAGAAAGAGCUCGAUGCCCUAGGAGGAGAUUUCUGUUUAUGAUUCAGUUUGGGAGAAUCAGCUUCCUUGUUUUUUGAUUGGUUGGUUGGUUGAUUUUUAACUUGUACCAGGGAUCAUAGGCUAUUGGAAAGAAAAGGCCAAAGCCUUGGGCACUCAAAGAGGUAACUUCCCAAGUCAUGGGGAAGAACCAUUCAUUCUUGAGAACAUUUUUAUCUUCCUCGGCUGAUUGGGAAACUGUCUUAAGGAGAAGCUUCCUUGGAUGUAAUAAAAGUUGUUUGGAAGCAUUUAUGCUCUGUUGUUAUCUUGCCUUUUUGUUGCCUUCUCUCUUCAUUAUUCUGUAUUUUCUAGCUUACCAGCAUUACCUACUUUCUAAAAACGCAAGUGCACAUCCUCUUGUCUUUUAUGAAGAGAGGAAUUUAUCAUUUUCUGUUUGGGCAUUGUGUUUUCCUUAGCCUUGCAUUUCCCAUGACCUUGGGUUUUGUGUGUGUUUUUAUGUAUAUUCUGCUAAAAAGGAGUGAAGGGGGAAUGUUGUCUUAGUGUUUUUUUCUGUUUCCUCUGUUGUUAGCCUGCCAUUUUUCCAUGGUUCACGUCUUCAUAUCUCUUACCAGUAUAUGGAGUUGUACAAUCUCUUUUAUGUUUCACCAAAAUUUGAGGUAACUUUUAAGAACACAUAUGAUAAAAUCGAAAACUAAACUCCAGAAUCACGGAAAAUAUAUAUUAGAAUAAUAAGUAAAGACCUGAGGAAAGUGAGAAUGCAAAUGUAUGUAUGUGUAAUUAUACUUCUUCAAGAUGGACCAUAUUAUGGAGGAUAUCUUUUAAAGAAAAAAAUCUUGAACUUUCUCUUUCAAGAAAAAGCACACCAGUUCAGUCCUAAAUAAUAAUAAUAAUAACCAUACACAGUGUACGCUACCCACGAGGAUGAAGCUGUUGAAGCCAUAAAUUGAGUCCUUUUGUCAAAGUGAUCAUGGCUUGUUACUUAAAUCCUCCAGCCACAUCCUGUCAAGUGAAUUUUGCCACAAAUCACAAUUUCAGUUUUUCUGUUUGGGAGGAAGAAUUACCAGUCUAGAUGGUUGCCAGUUUUAGUGCUUCUGUGUAACAGGUAGGGGAGUGGCAUCAGCGAGAGACUCCAUUCCUCCCCUCCUCUUUCCUACAGAUUAGGACCAGGAACCUUCUACAGAGCUGGGGUGCUGUGUCUUUUCCCACCAGAUCAGAGAAUCAGGCUCACUUUGAUCUGAAGAAAGUACUCAAGAAACAGUUGCAGGAAUAGAUACUAAUGUAUGUUGAGUAGGUGAUUGGGAGUUACUACUCCCAAUCAAGCUGAACAGGCCAAAGGAUUGGAGUCGCUAGUAAAGAACAAGUUAGCAAAAGACAUAGGAGCAUAAAAUUUCUGGUUGACCCAGAAGGCACUAAGGGAUUAGCAGACUUGGGUGAGUCUUUCACAAUAAGUAGGAGAGAAAAUAUUAAUGAGUCCAUGCAAUUCAACUAUUUGAUGUUUGACAACAAAGGUGAAAGGAAAGGAAAAAGAUGGUGGAAAAGUAGAAACUUUAAGCUGAUCAGAUUAUUUAAUUUAGCAGUGCCACAUGUAUUUAUGGUGGAAUGUGUGAUAUGCCACAUUAACGUGCUCUCCAUGCCACUCAUCAUUGUGUGGUAUACACGGACGUGAGUUACUAACAUACUACUAAACUUAAGGCUUUAUAAAAGUUAAGUUUUAAAUUUUCUUUAUAUAUUUAAGUUUUGUUUCUAAAAUGUAUGAGCAUGAGUUUCUUCCACUGGGAUGGGUUUUAAAAACAAAUAAACACAAAUACUGAGGAUAAAAGAUAAACGAGAGACUAGCCUUAAGUCAAUUUAUCUUUCUUUUUUCUCCAUCUGGAGCAAGUAAUUUACAACACAAAAAAGCAUCAGCACGUCAUGAGAUAAGACGCAAACUUAAAUGGGAACACUUUAUGCCUCAGUAGAAAUGUACUGAAUUUAUAAAGGAGAUACAAUAGGAAGUUGUAUUAUACAUAUUCAUAAAUAGAAUGCUAGAUUAGCAAUCAUGUAUAAAGGACUGUUAUUUUACUGAGAAUUUUGAAUGUUAUGAUUUAUUAUGGCUGUAAACCGUACAAAUGACAAAAUUUUACUUCUAUUCUUCUGAAUACCAGGAGGAGUACAAAUUUCUAUUAAAAUCAGCCUUUUCAGGCCUUUAGCAACAUAGCUUCGUGAUCACCUCUGUAAAAGUUCGCUUAACUUUUUAAUGUUUUAUUACACUUUUUAAGGUUUUAUUACAAAAGUAAGACAUGCUUAUUUAAAAGAAAAAAUUGUCUAGAAGAAUUUGAAGUGAAAGGUAAAAUUUUUCUUCAUUUCCACAUCUCCCCAUACCAUGGCCAUGGUCCCCGCCGCUCCCCCAUACAUAACAAUGUAGAAGAAAAUCUGAAAUAAGAUGCACCAAACUGGUAAAUUAGUGUGUGAGAUUGUGUGUGUAUGUGUGUAAAAUAUCCACACACAUUUGCAUUUGUUUUGUUUUGUAUUUAAUACAAUGAGGAUAUAUUAUACAUUGUUCUAUGACUUAGUUUUUUUCCUUAACAAUAUAGUAAAACCAUGCACGUGUUUCUGUAUCAAUAUACAAAGAUCUGCCUCCUUUUCAGUGGCUGUCUGUUGUUUAGAAAAUUCAUGUAACCAGUCCCUUAUUAGUGAACUUUUUUUUUUUCAAUUUUGCACUUUGACAAACAAUGGUAAAAAUUUUCUCUACACAUCUGUCUGAGUGUCUCUGUCAAUUACAUUUUUUACAGGAGACUGCCUGGGCAAAAGUGUGUACAUUUUUAUUUUGGCAUUAAUGUCAGAUUGCCCACCAAAAAUGUUUAGCAACAGCAUGUGGGACAUGGGAAGACUUUCCCUCUAUCCUCUUAGAUUAUGUCACUGGAAUUUAACUGACAAUAGACAGAUUAAUAGGAGGAAGAAAACAAUUAUUCAUAUACAUCUGGAGCUCACCAAAGGAGUAGCUCCCCAGAUGGCUAUGGUUGGGGAUUAUGUACCUAAAUAGAGGAGAGGAGGCAGGCAGACAGGCUUCUGUAGGAAGAACACAUGGGUUUCUGGGGAGCAAACAGGAGCCGAGAGUUUGUGAUGACAUUUGUUUACCCAGGUGUGAGUGGUCUCUGUGUUGUUUUUUUUUUCUCCCCUUCAUUCCAUAAAACUCCCCCAGAAGGGAUCCAUGGCAGCCUCACUCCCAGAAGUUUCUGCUUUUCAUGAAAUAAGGGAAGCUCCAGAAGGAGUUCUUUCUGUAUCUUCUGAAUCUCCAGUAUCUGUAGUUUAAGAUGAUCUUCAUGCCAACUCUCGGGGUCCCAAUAGUAUGUAUCCCUACCUGUGCCAACUGUUAUGCAUGUCUGUGCUUCCUGUGUUAACAGUGGAUAGUGACAUGUGAAGUAUAAAUCUUCAUGAAUGUUUAAAACUUUGAGAAGUUAUUAGGCUUUUAAAAAAUUGUUUCUAAUUUCCCUGUAUCGUAAGCUUUAUGGACAGAUUAAUAAAGUUAUUUUAAAAAUAAUUAUUAAAUAUUCAUUAAAUGGGAAUAUUGCAUGACGACUUCAGCAUACCACUGACCAUUAUAUUAUUUAAUUCUUAUGGAAACUGGAGAUCAGCCUGAUCUUGGAAUUUAAUAAAAUUGUCAUGUUUCCUGUCAGCUUUACUUUCUUUCUUCUUAUCUGCCUCAAAAUGAUCAGAUACAUUUUUCUGUCAACAAAAAUGCAACGACCACUGCCAAAAUAAGCAAGAACCAAACUCUUUAUCACCAUUGGAGGUAAUUUGGGUGCCAACACCUUACUCCAGAGGUUCCCAAACUUCGCUGCACAUUAAAAUUGCCUGUGGAGCUGUUAAAAUUUUAUUCCCAGGCCUCCCCCACGUACAGUUAAAUCCAAAAGUUUGGGGCACAAACCAGAAAUCAAUAAUCUUUAAAGACCCCUAGGUGAUUCCACUCUGCAGUGUGUGAACCACUGCCUUACUCAUAAUUAAAUCAGUUUAAUUACUAGUAAUUAAAGAGAAGAAUUAAAGUUUAUCCUCCCUGUCCUGUACAGAUUUUAUUUCAGAAUAGCCAAAUAACCCUAGUCAUUCCUAGCUAUCUAAAGAUUUCUAAAAUAUGCCAAAGAGUUCCUACUGAUCACUGUAGAAAGAACAGUAAAAUUAGAAAAACCACCAGUUUGCAGCUCCUAAUGAAAUCAUUGAUUCAAGCAAAGAUUGUCAGUGUAUGAAAAAUAACCUCUAUUCUUAAUCUUAGCCUCACAGUAGAGUCACCUUGGGAGUGUUUUAGACACUUCUGCUGACUGAGUCCCAUACCCUCCCACUUCCACCCCAGGGGGUUGCAGUGUGCAACCAAGAUUGAGAAUCAUUACAUUAGUAGAAAGGAAGAUGGUGUACUUGAAAAUAGAUCAGCCUGCCACACCACUGGAAUUGGCUGAUUGAUCUGAGCAAAUGUGAAAGCUAUGAUGUGAAGUACACAGCACCAUGCGUAAAGUAUUCAGUAUAACUACAGAAGUUUGACCUGAAAGCUUUUAGCUCUAAAUUUCUCCUUAUAAGCAAAAUUGAGGCCAGAGGAUAUGUAAAUGCCACUACGAGACACCCAUCAAGCAAAUUCAGAAUGUGGCACAUCCUCUUGAGUUUAUUGCUGUGGUUCCAGCAGUGAGCCAGGAAGAUGAAAAUGGGGAAAUGGGCUAUCUUUUUGAGAUUUAAAGGACUUAGGUAACCAUCACAGUUAAAUGCAAUUGGUGAACCUUACUUCAGACUGACGAGUACAAGCCACUGAAGAAAGACAUUUCUUGAGACAUCAGGAAAAUUUUUAAUAUGAACUCAUUGUAUGGCAUUAUGGGAUAAUGGCAGUGUUGUGAAGUCCUUAUUUAAUAGAGCUACAUAGGGAAGUAUUUAGAGUUCUGAUGAUCCGGUGUGAGGGGUCUGUUUUAGAAUACCGUAACAGAAGAAAGGGAAAGAUAAAUGGAGUGUUAGAAGUGUGGCAUACAGUUGUAAUGAUUAAAUCUGGGGUGGUCAGUUAUGCUUUUCUGUUUUUAUGUAUGUUUGAAAAAGCUUAAUUUUAAAAAAUUA